rfam:Daphnia pulex DAPPTscaffold_114_Cont4831, whole genome shotgun sequence.
GAUAGUGUGGCCGAGUGGUCUAUGGCCCUAGAAUUGGGCACCAGUCUCUUUGGAGGCAAGGGUUCGAAUCCCUUCUCUGUCA